rnacentral:rRNA from 1 species
GGCAGAGGGUGCAAACGUUGUUCGGAAUUACUGGGCGUAAAGCGUGUGUAGGCGGUCCACUAAGUCGGGUGUGAAAGCCCUGGGCUCAACCCAGGAAGUGCACUCGAAACUGGCGGGCUAGAGUAUCGGAGAGGUUGGUGGAAUUCUCGGUGUAGAGGUGAAAUUCGUAGAUAUCGAGAGGAACACCGGUGGCGAAGGCGGCCAACUGGACGAAUACUGACGCUGAGACACGAAAGCGUGGGGAGCAAACAGG